UACGGGGGGGGCAAGCGUUGUUCGGAAUUACUGGGCGUAAAGGGCUCGUAGGCGGCCAACUAAGUCAUACGUGAAAUCCCUCGGCUUAACCGGGGAACUGCGUCUGAUACUGGAUGGCUUGAGUUCGGGAGAGGGAUGCGGAAUUUCAGGUGUAGCGGUGAAAUGCGUAGAUAUCUGGAGGAACACCGGUGGCGAAGGCGGCCCCCUGGACCGGUACUGACGCUGAGGCGCGAAAGCGUGGGUAGCAAACGGG
rnacentral:rRNA from 1 species